AUAUACUAUAUACUAAAGCAGAGGCAUAAUUAUAUGCAGAUAGCAUACAACCAUAGGCAUAUGCGAUUUUAUAUGCAGAUAGCAUACAACCAGAGGCCAUUGUGCCGGCGACGCAUCAUUUUAAUUUUUGCCUUAUCAACUUUUGAUGGUAGGAUCAUGGCCUACCAUGGUGGUGACGAGUGAUGGGGAAUAGGGUUUGAUUUUGGAGAGGAAGCCUGAAAAAUAGCUACCAUAUCCAAGGAAGACAGCAGGCACGCAAAUUACCCAAUCCUGACAUGGGGAAUAGUGACAAUAAAUAACAAUACCGAGCUUAAUGAGUCUGGUAAUUGGAAUGAGUAUAAUCUAAAUCCCUUAAUGAGGAUCCAUUGGAGGAAAAGUCUGGUGCCAACAACCAUGGUAAUUCCAGCUCUAAUAGCAUUUAUCUAAGUUGUUGCAGUUAAAAAACUCGUAGUUGUACUUUUGGAUGGGCCGGACGGUCCGCCUAUGGUGUUCACCGAUCGUCUUAUCCCUUCUAUCGGCAAUGCGUUCCUGACCUUAACUGGCUAGGUUGUGCCUCCGGUGUUAUUACUUUAAAGAAAUUAGAGUGCUCAAAGCAAGCCUAUGCUCUGUAUACAUUGGCAUGGGAUAACAUUAUAGGUUUUCGGUCCUAUUAUGUUAGCUUUCGAGAUUGGAGUAAUGAUUAACAGGGAUAGUUGGGGGCAUUCAUAUUUCUUAGUUAGAGGUGAAAUUCUUCGAUUUAUGAAAUACAAACAACUGCAAAAGCAUUUGCCAAGGAUUUUUUCACUAAUCAAGAACGAAAAUUGGGGGCUCGAAGAAGAUCAAAUACGUCCUAGUCUCAACCAUAAACGAUGCCGACUAGGGAUCGAUGGAUGUUGCUUUUAGGACUCUGCUUGCACCUUAUGAGAAAUCAAAGUUUUUGGGUUUCGGGCGGAGUAUGGUCGCAAGGCUGAAACUUAAAGGAAUUGACGUAAGGGCACCACCAGGAGUGGUGCCUGUGGCUUAAUUUGACUCAACACGGGGAAACUUACCAGGUCCAAACUUAGUAAGGUUGAAAAACUGAGAGCUCUUUCUUAAUUCUAUGGGUGGUGGUGCAUGGACGUUCUUAGUUGGUGGAGUAAUUUGUCUGAUUAAUUCCAUUAACAAACGAUACCUCUGCCUGCUAACAAGAUAUGCAGAGAUAUCCCUUUGCGGCCAUCUUCUUAGAGGGACUACGACCUUUUAGGCCACAGAAGUUUGAGGCAAUAAUAGGUCUAUGAUGCCCUUAGACUUUCUGGGCCGUACGUGCGCUAUACUGAUGUAUUCAACGAGUUUAUAACCUUAGCCGAAAGGCUUGGGUAAUCUUGUAAAUUUUAUUAUGAUGGGGUUAGAUCAUUGAAAUUGUUGUUAUUCAACGAGAAAUUCCUAGUAUGUGUGAGUCAUCAGCUGCAUUGACUGCAUCCCUGUUCUUUGUACACACAACCCGUCGCUCCUUCCGAUUGAAUAAUCCAGCAAAAUAUUCAGAUCGCAGCAACAUGGGCGGUUCAUUGCCUGCGACUUCGCGAGAAGUACAUUGAACCUUAUCAUUUAGAGGAAAGAUAAGUCCUAAUAAGGUUUCCAUAGGUGAACCUGCGGAAG
rnacentral:rRNA from 1 species